GGCAAUAGACAAGCGUUUAUUAAACGUAACGAAAGAUGUCAGAGUAUGUCGUAGCAAAAGACAAAACUAAAACAAUUGCCAAGAAAAGAGAGGGACGCUAGGCUUUCGUGGCAAUAGACAAUCUGUUGUUUAUUGACAAGAAAACUAUUUCGUGGCAAUAGACAGUGUGGUCGUCGCGUAACGAAAAAGCAGACGGAAAGUCGUGGCAAUAGACUCAACCUUUUUGUUAUUAUGUUUCUGUGAAUAUGGAAACAAAUAGUUAGGGAUUUGGAAUGUGGCUGUGAAUUUGAAUAAAAGUGUUUGGAUUGAAAGAAUGAGUCGCGAGGAUCACAAGAAUAAACCGACUGCCAAUUCUUGUUUGCAUACCCAGGUGUUAGGUUGUACCUCGGUGCGUUCAAAAUCAGCAGAUCUCCGUAUUUCCCUACUUCAAGAGAGCCAUGGGUUUUCUGUUUACCCAAUGCAGCAGCUAAGUUCACAGAUGGAUAACUAUCGACUAAAGCUUCAGGUAAAGUCAUCCCAAACAAAACGCAAGCGAGAUUCAUCACCAACGGCUGCAUCACAUAAUAAAAUGAAUUCAUUGUAAAGUUAACGACCAGAAAUGAUAAAAUCGUCAAACCAUGGAAAGGCAGUGAGCAUUGGGAUUGAAAUCGGAGCCAAGUGCUACCGGUACGCCUUGGUUUAUCAUCUGUCGAACUGGCGGAGGCUUCAAGCGAAGAAGAUAUGCUGUAGUAGGCAAGAUGACUGCAACAGAAGGUUUCACAGCCAUUGCAGCAAUUCCUUCUUGACUGAUCUCUUCCAGAUGGCUCAUGGCUUCGGCACCCAGAGAAGCUCCCAUCUGUGGUUAUAUAAAAUGGUUCCGCUUUAGCAAUUUAUAUUAUUUCCCUAAAUAAAUAUUUCAAUUCCAACCUCUGUUCCGCAUGUUGGCGUCAGUUCAUCUGCAUGAAAAUUAAGACGCAAACCGGCCUGCCUUCCAGCUUCUAAGAUCUUGCGUGAUUGGUCGAUAUUAAAUACACCUUUCUCGCAAAAGACAUCAA